CAGGUAUUUGGCUACAGCAACAAGGAUGACGAACACGGAUGAAUUGAUCAGGAUGUUAACCAUUCAAAGUCGAGAGGUUUGAUGCCUUGAAAUCUUUUCCAUCUUGAAUAUUUGCCUUAGUGGCUGCCUC
rnacentral:miRNA from 1 species